AUUCCGGUUGAUCCUGCCGGAGGCCAUUGCUAUCGGAGUCCGAUUUAGCCAUGCUAGUCGCACGGGUUCAGACCCGUGGCGGAUAGCUCAGUAACACGUGGCCAAACUACCCUGUGGACGACAAUAACCUCGGGAAACUGAGGCUAAUCCUCGAUACGGCUUCCAACCUGGAGUGGUGGAAGUCGAAAACGCUUCGGCGCCACAGGAUGCGGCUGCGGCCGAUUAGGUAGACGGUGGGGUAACGGCCCACCGUGCCAGUAAUCGGUACGGGUGAUGAGAGUCAGAGCCCGGAGACGGAAUCUGAGACAAGAUUCCGGGCCCUACGGGGCGCAGCAGGCGCGAAACCUUUACACUGCACGGAAGUGCGAUAGGGGAAUCCCAAGUGCGAGGGCAUAUAGCCCUCGCUUUUCUCGACUGUAAGGUGGUCGACGAAUAAGAGCUGGGCAAGACCGGUGCCAGCCGCCGCGGUAAUACCGGCAGCUCAAGUGAUGUCCCAUAUUAUUGGGCCUAAAGCGUCCGUAGCU
rnacentral:rRNA from 1 species